UACGAAGGGGGCUAGCGUUGCUCGGAAUCACUGGGCGUAAAGCGCGUGUAGGCGGCAGACCAAGUCGGCGGUGAAAGCGCCCGGCUCAACUGGGCGAGGUCCGUGGAAACUGGUCAGCUGGAGGACGGUAGAGGCGAGUGGAAUUCCCGGUGUAGUGGUGAAAUGCGUAGAGAUCGGGAGGAACACCUGUGGCGAAGGCGGCUCGCUGGGCCGGUCCUGACGCUGAGACGCGAAGGCGUGGGGAGCGAACGGG
rnacentral:rRNA from 1 species